GACCCUGCCGGCCCCCCGCCGGCUCCUGUCUCUGCUCCCUGUGUGGCCGCCAGGGCCCCAUGCAGGGACCUUAGGGCUGGUUUGCAGCCUGGAGGCACAUUGCAGUCUCCCUGGAGCUCUCUCUCGGGUUCCGGUUCUUAACCAGGGGGUGCGCCCCUACUGAAAACAAGUUUAAUGGGACAUUGUUCUUGGAAAAAGAUCAGCAGAUAUGAAUAUAUUAGCAUUUUGAGAGUUUUCCAGUCUGUGAAAGCAUAAGGAUGAAAUGGGGUUUUUUGUUUUAUUUUGUUUUUAAUAAAGACUGCAUUAUGAGUCA